CCCUCUUACAGAGGCAUGUCUUUGGUUCCCUGUCUUUGGACACAUAAGAAUUGAAGGCAAAGAAAUGUGGAUUUUGGAGAAAUCUGGGGCCAGCUUGAUCCCUGUAGGCUCAAGAGAAACUAUACUACAUAG
rnacentral:snoRNA from 1 species